UACAUGGGGUGCAAACGUUGCUCGGAAUUAUUGGGCGUAAAGCGCACGUAGGCGGUUCGUUAAGUCAAAUGUGAAAGCCCCCCGGCUCAACCGGGGAAGUGCAUCUGAAACUGGCGAGCUAGAGUACGAAAGAGGGUCGCGGAAUUCCCGGUGUAGAGGUGAAAUUCGUAGAUAUCGGGAGGAACACCGGUGGCGAAGGCGGCGACCUGGGUCGAUACUGACGCUGAGGUGCGAAAGCGUGGGGAGCAAACAGG
rnacentral:rRNA from 1 species